UAUCAUAAAAAUAGAUUGCACUUUAUUCCUUGAAGUACAUAAAGAAAAACACCUACAAUGCUUGAAGUUAGUAAAAGGAGAAACCAUUAAUAAUGGAUCAACAAAUGUACCAAUAUUAAAUUUAAAGCCCUGGGGAAGAGCUUCAAUAUGGCCAACUAGAGACAUUUCAUUAACAUCAGGGUUUUACCCCCUCCCCCUCCCCAGACUGCCAUCACUGCAGGCUGCUGCCACUGGGCUGAAGCAUGACUGAAAUAUGUGUUCCUCACCCACCUACAUAUAGCUGCUACCACCAAGAAAACUGAAAGCUCAUAUUCUUGACAAACAUACAUGAAAAAGUCCUCAAGAAAAUACUAAAAAAUUGAAACAUUCAGUGGGAAAGAUAUUUUCUUCAACACAUGGUUCUGGGAAAACUGGAUAUUCACAUGUAGAAGAAGGAAACAGCACCCU
rnacentral:lncRNA from 1 species